AUUGAACGCUGGCGGCAUGCUUUACACAUGCAAGUCGAACGGUAACAGGCCGCAAGGUGCUGACGAGUGGCGAACGGGUGAGUAAUGCAUCGGAACGUGCCCAGUCGUGGGGGAUAACGCAGCGAAAGCUGCGCUAAUACCGCAUACGAUCUAUGGAUGAAAGCGGGGGACCGUAAGGCCUCGCGCGAUUGGAGCGGCCGAUGUCAGAUUAGGUAGUUGGUGGGGUAAAGGCUCACCAAGCCAACGAUCUGUAGCUGGUCUGAGAGGACGACCAGCCACACUGGGACUGAGACACGGCCCAGACUCCUACGGGAGGCAGCAGUGGGGAAUUUUGGACAAUGGGCGCAAGCCUGAUCCAGCAAUGCCGCGUGCAGGAAGAAGGCCCUCGGGUUGUAAACUGCUUUUGUACGGAACGAAAAGCCCUGGGUUAAUACCCUGGGGUCAUGACGGUACCGUAAGAAUAAGCGCCGGCUAACUACGUGCCAGCAGCCGCGGUAA
rnacentral:rRNA from 1 species